rnacentral:rRNA from 1 species
GACGAACGCUGGCGGCGCGCUUAACACAUGCAAGUCGAACGGAAAGGCCUGCUUUCCCUUGUGGAUUGCGGGUACUCGAGUGGCGAACGGGUGAGUAACACGUGAGUGAUCUGCCCCCAACUUGGGUAUAAGCCUGGGAAACUGGGUCUAAUUCCCGAUAGGACUGCAGGGUGGUGCCUGUGGUGGAAAACGAUUUUCUAGUGGUUGGGGAUGAGCUCGCGGCCUAUCAGCUUGUUGGUGGGGUAAUGGCCUACCAAGGCGGCGACGGGUAGCCGGCCUGGGAUGGUGGACGGCCACAGUGGGACUGAGAUACGGCCCAGACGCCUACGGGAGGCAGCAGUGGGGAAUAAUGCACAAUGGGCGGAAGCCUGAGGCAGCGACGCCGCGUGGGGGAUGACGGCCUUCGGGUUGUAAACUCCUUUCGACCGCGAGGAAGCCACCUGGUUGGAAGGGUGGUGACGGUAGUGGUAGAAGAAGCACCGGCUAACUACGUG